CUCUUUCUCUUCUCUUUUGUUUCAACUUUUUUUUCUUAAUCUCACAGACUUCAUCUUUUCAUUCUUCCCAAUCUCACAGAUCUUGUCACUCUGAUCUCUUUCUUCAUCCCAACUAAACCUUGCCACUACAGACCUCGUCUUCGUCUCCAAUCUCUUUGUUUAAAUAAAGCGGAGGAGGAUGGAGAAGCUUUAUGGUUGUAAUCUCAGCACCGACGCGGCAGACUCGUCUCUGGUCAAGCUCUGUAUUGGUUUCACCUCCUCACCACCACCACAGAUCUAUUAAGGACCAAGGAAAAGUGAAGCAAUAAUGUGACAAAGCAGCGUCUCUGGUCAAGCGUGGUGCAAGACGGUGGUGCAAGCCGGUGGUGGCAUGGUUGUCGUGCGGUGGAGAUGCGAUGUUGGUGUGCUAACUGCGGCGGUGACUGAAAGAAUUUAGUUUAGUGGAUGUAUUAGGUUUAUUUAGGGUUAAUUAGUAAACCAAUUUGUAAUUGUAAACCAUUUUGUAACUGUAUAUCAUGUAAACCAAAAUUCAAUUUAUAAGAUCUCACCGCAGCUAUUUCUAAA